UCGUGCGAGUGUAGCUGCGCGACAGGUUGCGAGAAGGUUUGUGUGAGCGUGGUUCCGCGUCGUGCGAGCGUGGUGGCGCGACGGAUCUGGGUCGCGCAAGGGGGUUUGGGCGACGGAAACCGGUUUCGGUGUUGUGCGCGUGUGUGGUGUGGUUUUCGGUCGCCGGAAUUCUUUCGCCGGCGAUUUCUAACGGUCCCAAUUUCAUAAGCGGCUCGUUCUAUUAAGUCAGCGAAAAUUCUCCGUUACAAGACUAGGUGAGCUGGUGCUGCUGCAUGACAUCAAGCAUAUGGGGGCUAGACUGUAGUUUGAAGUUAACUUUUGGUUUGAUCAUUAAUGAAUUUUAUAGAACAUUAUUACAUGGUUUGAGUUUGAAUAAAGAGGGGUCAUCUAUGAUUCCCGAGUUGUAAUUACAUUUUCUAUUCCGCUGCAAUUUGGUUUUGAGACAAUGAAUUUGAGUUACCAUAUUUCUAAUUA